rnacentral:lncRNA from 1 species
UAAGGUCACGCCAAGAGGAAAUAUUAAGCGAAAUGAAGCGUCAUUUUAUUGGCUCAUCACCAUCAAGGUUAGAAGUACUACACCUUUAAAUGAUAAAUUCAAUUAUAAUCUUUUUUUUUAGCAAAAUCCACUAGGUAGUGUGCCUAGGGCUAUUUUAUAAAUAUCUAAAAGUAAAAGCAAACAUGUUUGGAGGUCUUACAAAAUGUAACAAAUAAACUUUGCAAGCUACUACUAUCCUAAAAUUAUACUGAAACCUAGCAUUAUUACAUAUGCUAAGUAUUAGCCUUUGAAGCCUUCUGAACCAAUGUGCAUCAUACUGAAUCUAGCGUUAUUACAUAUGCUAAGUAUUAGCCUUUGAAGCCUUCUGAACCAAUGUGCAUGCAUUUUGCAUCCAUAGCCACUUUUGACUUGUACGAUCAUAUCCAUUGUGAUUGUUUUGGCUUGUUUGAUUCCCUUCUUGCUGCUGUAGAAACACUUGAUUUCCCCAGAUGAUAUGUAUGUUUUCCCAUGAUUGUCUGCAUUUCAUGAAUUUACCUGUAAUAGUCCAGUCUUCAUAUUUGAGUCCUGCUAUGUGA